rnacentral:ncRNA from 2 species
ACCAAUUGGAUAGCGCCUGGUCUGGUUUUCAGACGACGAGGAAAGAGUUUAUCGAAUCAUUCGGCGGAUGACUCUAGGGUCUGCACUCUAUAGAUAAAUAAAAAAACGAAUGGAGACAUUCCAACAAAGUAUUUAUCAAGCAGCGGA